rnacentral:rRNA from 1 species
UCCCGUUGAUCCUGCGGGAGAAUGCUGCUAGCAGGAUGCGACUAAGCCAUGCAAGUCACGGGGGUAGCAAUACCACCGGCGCAAGGCUCAGUAACACGUCGCUAACUUACUCUUUGGUCAUGGAUAGCCUCGGGAAACUGAGGGUAAUACAUGAUAGGUGUUUUAUGCUGGAAUGCUUAAACAUUGAAAUUCGAGCCAAAGAAUUGGGCGGCGGCCGAUUAGGUAGUUGGUGAGGUAACGGCUCACCAAGCCUAUGAUCGGUAGGGGCGAUGAGAGUCGUGGCCCCGAGAGGGACACUGAGAUACGGGUCCCAGCCCUACGGGGUGCAGCAGGCGCGUAACCUUUACAAUGCACGAAAGUGUGAUAGGGGUAUCCUGCGUGCUUAUGCUUAGCAUAGGCUUUUUACGACGGUAAAUACGUCGAGGAAUAAGUGGUGGGUAAGACUGGUGCCAGCAGCCGCGGUAAUCCCAGCGCCACGAGUGGCAUUCACAAUUACUGGGUCUAAAGCGUUCGUAGCUGGAUGAAUGGCUCUUUUGUGAAAACGGACAACUUAAUUGUUCGGAUUGCAGAAGACACCCAUUGCCUAGGAACCGGUAGGCGUCAGAAGUAUGUCUUAGGGAGCGGUAAAAUGUGAUAAUCUAAGAUAGACUACCUGUGGCGGAGGCGUCUGACGAGGACGGAUUCGACGGUGAGGAACGAAGGCUAGGGGAGCGAACCGGAUUAGAUACCCGAGUAGUCCUAGCAGUAAACGCUGCAUGCAAGGGUGUGGCGUGUUCUUACGAACACGCUGUGUCGAAACGAAGGUGCUGAGCAUGCCACCUGGGAAGUACGGUCGCAAGGCUGAAACUUAAAGGAAUUGGCGGGGGAGCACUACAAGGGGUGCGGCGUGCGGUUUAAUUCGACUCAACGCGCAGAAUCUCACCAGCGGCGACGGCAGGAUGAAAGUCAGUCUAAAGGGCUUACUUGACGAGCCGAGAGGUAGUGCAUGGCCGUCGGCAGCUCGUGCCGUAAGGUGUCCUGUUAAGUCAGGCAACGAGCGAGACCUGCACUCACAAUUGCCAGCGUGAUCUACGGAUUGAAUGGGCACAUUGUGAGGACUGCCUGGGAAACCAGGAGGAAGGUGCAGGCUACGAUAGGUCUGUAUGCUCCGAAUCUGCUGGGCAACACGCGCGCAACAAUGGUAAGGACAAUGGGAUACUACUCCGAAAGGAGACGUGAAACCUCGAAACCUUAUCUUAGUUCAGAUUGAGGGUUGUAACUCACCCUCAUGACGAUGGAAUCCCUAGUAAUCGGGUUUUAUCAUAGCCCGGUGAAUACGUCCCUGCUCCUUGCACUCACCGCCCGU